ACAAUUACAUUAGUACAGUGAUUCUUCGUUUACAUUAAGGUUACUACAUUCAUGUCUCUUAGAACUUUAUUGUUUAGGUCAAUGGCGAGGCUUGUGACGUCUUUAGUUGGUGAGCCAGCCACUUCAAUCUCAACCUUGCUAUACUACAGCGGUCUUUUGCCUCACAAUAUCAUUCUGAUGAGAAUGGUUCGGCCAGAGUUGCUCGAUCAAGAAAACUAUAUCUUCAAUCUUCUCAUUACAUUAAUGUGUUGUUGGUGGUGAACGUAUAUGGGUCAAUUUUUUAAUCAUUUUCAAUCUCCAGUUUUUGGGUUUAUUAAAUUCAACAAAAGAGAGAGAGAAUUGUUUUUGGAAGGAAGAGCAUUGAGGAAAGAACAGAAUCAUGAAAGUGAUAUUUGAAUGUUUUGUAACCUUUGGGGGCGAUUAUUGUAAAUGACGACGCUUUAUAUUUUCUUAAUUUUCAUGAUUUACAGGGUGUUUGGUUA